rnacentral:rRNA from 1 species
UACGGGGGGGGCAAGCGUUGUUCGGAAUUACUGGGCGUAAAGGGCUCGUAGGCGGCCAACUAAGUCAGACGUGAAAUCCCUCGGCUUAACCGGGGAACUGCGUCUGAUACUGGAUGGCUUGAAUCCGGGAGAGGGAUGCGGAAUUCCAGGUGUAGCGGUGAAAUUCGUAGAUAUUCGCAAGAACACCAGUGGCGAAGGCGGCUCACUGGCCCGGUACUGACGCUGAGGUGCGAAAGCGUGGGGAGCAAACAGG